rnacentral:lncRNA from 1 species
UUAAAUACUCACCUGAUACUCACCUGUGCGUCCGCCACACCAUUCAUUCAUAUGCAUCAUAUAACAAUUCAUCUCAUUUGAUUCAUAUCAUUUCAUGCAUGGCAAUUCGAUUUACAUUUCCAUAUAUAUUUCAUAUACUUCUAUGCAUGACCUUUCAAUUCACGUUUUCAUAUAAUUCUAUAUACCUUUCAUUUAAAACAUAAUUUCAUUCUAAUUCAAUUUCUGGGAAAACGUCAAGUAUAUAUAUAUACGGAAAACAAAACUGCCCACUCACAGAAUACAUCGACGUGUCGAAGGUCCCUGAGCCUCCCUUAGUCAUGCCCAACGUUCGUACAAGCCUCGCCUAUACGAGAAAUAACCGAAUUAACGUUAUUUAACGCAUAACCUAAUUCUUAGCUAAUAACUCUUCAAAUAUUGCUCAAAUUGGGUAUAUGAAUAUACCACUGUGACCUACACAACCUCAGGAACAUCCCCAUAUUUUUAAAAUAAUUUUUGGAGUCCUCACGCGCCCCCACGCGCCUGACGUGGCACGGACCUACGCGCCCCCACGCGCGGCCACGUGUCGUGCACACUGACGGCACAGUAAACGGCAGUUAGGGAAUAUUCCGUCAAAUCCUAGUAUAUUCCGUUAAAAACUAACGGUUUCCGUUAAAACUGACUAACGACGUCAGAAUAUUCCGUCAAACUUGACGGAAUAUUCCGUCACCUUCAACCUUCAGCUCCGGCGACCGUCGCCGGCGCCGGAAACUGGGUAAUUUUUCAAAACCACUAUUCUCCUUCGUUUUUCGUCCAAUUUCUUCGCAAUUUAUACCAAAAUGAAGCAUUUAACACCUACUAUCACGUUGGAAGGUUUUUAAGGUCUAAAAACAACAAGAUCAUACCUUCCAAAAUUCCUCAAAUUCGGCCAAACUCGAACCCAACGAUCCCGACGUCCAUUUUGUUCAAACGAGGCACUCCGAGCCUCCUCGUGACCUCCUUAAGCUCACUGUGAGCUUUGUUUAACCUAAAACACGGCCAUCUUAAAGUUUGUGAACAGUGCAAAUCCACGGGGUGAUUUGAAACUAGGGUUUUUGAUAUAGAACUCACCUGAAACUUGUACCCCCGUGCUCGUGAAGUUCCCAAGAUCACGAUGGUGAUCUUAGAUUGGACGUUCGUGUAGAAUUGUGGUUGUUCUUGGUGUUUGCCGUGAGUUCGAGAGUAAGAGAGAGAGUGAGAGAGAGUCUGAGAAAUGAAAGAAGAAGAGAGAAGAAAGAUUACGGGUUUUAGGGAGUGUUUUGAGGGUAGGAGGCCCUACCUAAGUCCAAACACAAUUUAACACAUACAAAUAUAAAUCUAACCCUAGUUUAGGAUCUUAGAGUAAAACAAAUGUCAUACAUUUACACACCUUAAUCCCGUUUAAGGUCACAUUGGUCAUUUCACGUCCUCGGAAUUAAAAUUCCGGGACGGGCUGUGACAGAAUUAGUACAAUAUUUUACACUUUAGUACCACAUAGAUAAAAAAAAUAAUCCACCAAUUUAAUGAAUAAUCCACCAAUUUGAUAAAAAAAAUAAUCCUAAAAUAAAACAUGGUGAUGAAUAAUAAUCCAAUUUGAUAAUAAUCCAAUUUAAUGAAUAAUCCACCAAUUUGAUAAAAAAAAUAAUCCUAAUAUAAAACAUGGUGAUGAAUAAUAAUCCAAUUUGAUAAUAAUCCAAUUUAAUGAAUAAUCCACCAAUUUGAUAAAAAAAUUUCCUAAUAUAAAAGAAUAAUAAUCCAAUUUGAUAAUAAAAAAAACCUAAUAUUAAUGAAUAAUAAUCCAAUUUGAUAAUAAAA